rnacentral:rRNA from 1 species
AGCAGCCGCGGUAAUUCCAGCUCCAAUAGCGUAUAUUAAAGUUGUUGCAGUUAAAAAGCUCGUAGUUGAAUUUCGGGGUUCUACCGUUGGUCGGGCUAUUGUCUGUACUGGCGUGUAGAAUUUCUACCUUCUGGGGAACUAUCAUGUUAUUAAUUUAGCGUGGUAGGAAACCAGAACCUUUACCUUGAAAAAAUUAGAGUGUUCAAAGCAGGCUUAUGUCUGAAUACAUUAGCAUGGAAUAAUAAAAUAGGACGGUGGUCCUGUUUUGUUGGUUUCUGAAUCACCGUAAUGAUUAAUAGGGAUAGUUGGGGGCAUUAGUAUUCAAUUGUCAGAGGUGAAAUUCUUGGAUUUAUUGAAGACUAACUACUGCGAAAGCAUUUGCCAAGGAUGUUUUCAUUAAUCAAGAACGAAAGUUAGGGGAUCGAAGACGGUCAGAUACCGUCGUAGUCUUAACCAUAAACUAUGCCGACUAGGGAUCGGACGAUGUUAACUUUUCUUGACUCGUUCGGCGCCUUACGGG